rnacentral:rRNA from 1 species
GAUGAACGCUGGCGGCGUGCUUAACACAUGCAAGUCGAACGGAAAGGCCCAAGCUUGCUUGGGUACUCGAGUGGCGAACGGGUGGGUAACACGUGGGUGAUCUGCCCUGCACUUCGGGAUAAGCCUGGGAAACUGGGUCUAAUACCGGAUAGGACGAUGGUUUGGAUGCCAUUGUGGAAAGUUUUUUCGGUGUGGGAUGAGCUCGCGGCCUAUCAGCUUGUUGGUGGGGUAAUGGCCUACCAAGGCGUCGACGGGUAGCCGGCCUGAGAGGGUGUACGGCCACAUUGGGCCUGAGAUACGGCCCAGACUCCUACGGGAGGCAGCAGUGGGGAAUAUUGCACAAUGGGCGCAAGCCUGAUGCAGCGACGCCGCGUGGGGGAUGACGGCCUUCGGGUUGUAAACUCCUUUCGCUAGGGACGAAGCGUUUUUGUGACGGUACCUGGAGAAGAAGCACCGGCUAACUACGUG